ACUCAUUCUUUAGUCUUCAGACUUCCUCUCUUUCACCUCUUUUCUUCUCCUUUUCUCUUUUAUGUACCUUAUUGUCGUCACGAUCUCACCUUUUCGUUCCAAACAAAUUUUUUCCCCUGGUAGCAUAGAAAGUGAAAGAAACUGGAGGUAGAAAGACGAGGCUCUUGUGUCUCAUCUAUGGUGGCAUCUCCCCGGAGUGGAAUCUAGGGCGCGGCGGAAGCCAUAGGCUUGAAAGAAGGGGAAGUGAAAGGCGGAGGACUUUUGAGUUUCAUUGGCCGAGAGGCUAGGGCACUGUUUAAUUUGGUUCGAUCUCGGUGUGGAACCUCGGGGAAUCAACUUUGUGUGUAGUGGUUUUGUGGUUGUGGGAUUUUGGAAACCUUAGAUUUGGUUCAAGGUUGUGUGGUUGGCUGAUUAAGCUAGGGGCGGGGCUGCCCAUGCGAUUGACUGGGUUUUCAUGCCGUCAAAACCAUUGCCUUGGGAUUGGAAGGACUUCUUCAAGGAGAGGACGCACGAGAGGUCGGAGUCUUUAAGUUUGCUGCAAGAUAGAGGACUCGCAUCAGGGUUCUUGGGAGUUUGCUCGCCGGGAUCGGCAGACUUGCACCGCCCUACAGGUGAGAUGAAUCCCACCGGGUUCUUGAUGAUGUCGGUUUUGGUUUAAACCAAGAAAAAUAAUCGGGUUCUUGGAAAAUUUGGUCUUCGAGCCCUUUUGUUUUUUAUGAUUUGUUCCUUUUUGGUUUUUAAUUUUGAAUUUAUUCUCUCCACAGAAGAAGCACGAGAGGUCGGAGUCUUUAGGUUUGCUGUAAGAUAGAGGGACUCGCAUCAGGUUCUUGGGAGUUUGCUCGCCAGGAUCGGUAGACUUUCGCCCUCUUACAGGAAAAUAGUGAAACUUGUGCGGAGGAGAAAUCAAAAGGAAUCUUGAAGAUUUUUUUUUGAAAUUUACAAAGUCUCAAAGACCAUAAGAUCCGAAUGGCAGAAAAUCUUUGGGAUUGGACUCCCUAGCAACUGUUUUUGAGCCCUGCCAUGUACUGGAUGUUCAAAGUUUAGUAGGUUUGAGGUUUUUGGAGGUUGCAGCUCUUUUUGUCACUUGAUUCCUCCUAAAUGCUACCAUUGAGAUGUCUUAACUCUUAUGAGUUGUAGCUAUAGCUGUGGCGGGAACUGUGAGCACUUAAUGAAAUCAUUUAAGUGUGCAUGAUUUAUGGAUGGCUCUCUGUCUCUCCACAUAUUCACAGACUGACACAUACAAUUGUUCGGUGCAUUUCCAAAUGGUAUGUUCUUAUUAAAAAAAUUAUAAAACUUCAAGGUUGAAUUGGGAUAUACUUCUCCAAAUUCUCAAAUCCAAAUGCAUCCCUCUAUUAUUCUGA